CGUAGGUGGCUUGAUAAGCCGGUUGUGAAAGCCCCGGGCUCAACCUGGGAACGGCAUCCGGAACUGUCAAGCUAGAGUGCAGGAGAGGAAGGUAGAAUUCCCGGUGUAGCGGUGAAAUGCGUAGAGAUCGGGAGGAAUACCAGUGGCGAAGGCAGCCUUCUGGACUGACACUGACACUGAGGUGCGAAAGCGUGGGUAGCAAACAGGAUUAGAUACCCUGGUAGUCCACGCCGUAAACGAUGUCGACCAGCCGUUGGGUGCCUAGCGCACUUUGUGGCGAAGUUAACGCGAUAAGUCGACCGCCUGGGGAGUACGGCCGCAAGGUUAAAACUCAAAUGAAUUGACGGGGGCCCGCACAAGCGGUGGAGCAUGUGGUUUAAUUCGAUGCAACGCGAAGAACCUUACCUACUCUUGACAUCCUGCGAAUUUGGUAGAGAUACCUUAGUGCCUUCGGGAACGCAGAGACAGGUGCUGCAUGGCUGUCGUCAGCUCGUGUUGUGAAAUGUUGGGUUAAGUUCCCGUAACGAGCGCAACCCUUGUCCUUAUUUGCCAGCGCGUAAUGGCGGGAACUCUAAGGAGACUGCCGGUGACAAACCGGAGGAAGGUGGGGACGACGUCAAGUCAUCAUGGCCCUUACGAGUAGGGCCACACACGUGCUACAAUGGUCGGUACAAAGGGUUGCCAACUCGCGAGAGUGAGCCAAUCCCGAAAAGCCGAUCUCAGUCCGGAUCGGAGUCUGCAACUCGACUCCGUGAAGUCGGAAUCGCU
rnacentral:rRNA from 1 species